UGGUUCUGGCAUCGAUGAAGAACGCAGCGAAAUGCGAUAAGUAAUGUGAAUUGCAGAAUUCAGUGAAUCAUCGAAUCUUUGAACGCACAUUGCGCCCAUUAGUAUUCUAGUGGGCAUGCCUGUUCGAGCGUCAUUUCAACCCAUCAAGCUCUUUUUUGCUUGGCGUUGGGAGAACGCGGGGCCCUGGAGCCCCGCGCCUCCUCAAAUCCAUCGGCGGAGUCGUAGCGACCCAAGCGUAGUAAUCUUUCUCGCUUCAGGUGUUUUGCUGCUGGCGUCCGGCCGCUAAACCCCCUAUUUCUUUUAGGUUUGACCUCGGAUCAGGUAGGAAUACCCGCUGA
rnacentral:misc_RNA from 1 species